AUUGAACGCUGGCGGCAGGCCUAACACAUGCAAGUCGAACGGUAACAGGAAGAAGCUUGCUUCUUUGCUGACGAGUGGCGGACGGGUGAGUAAUGUCUGGGAAACUGCCUGAUGGAGGGGGAUAACUACUGGAAACGGUAGCUAAUACCGCAUAACGUCGCAAGACCAAAGAGGGGGACCUUCGGGCCUCUUGCCAUCGGAUGUGCCCAGAUGGGAUUAGCUAGUAGGUGGGGUAACGGCUCACCUAGGCGACGAUCCCUAGCUGGUCUGAGAGGAUGACCAGCCACACUGGAACUGAGACACGGUCCAGACUCCUACGGGAGGCAGCAGUGGGGAAUAUUGCACAAUGGGCGCAAGCCUGAUGCAGCCAUGCCGCGUGUAUGAAGAAGGCCUUCGGGUUGUAAAGUACUUUCAGCGGGGAGGAAGGGAGUAAAGUUAAUACCUGUGCUCAUUGACGUUACCCGAAGAAGAAGCACCGGCUAACUCCGUG
rnacentral:rRNA from 1 species